GAUGAAGAACGUAGCGAAAUGCGAUAAGUAAUGCGAAUUGCAGAAUUUCCGUGAGUCAUCGAAUCUUUGAACGCACAUUGCGCCCUUUGGUAUUCCUUAGGGCAUGCCUGUUCGAGCGUCAUUUCAACCCUCAAGCGCAGCUUGGUGUUGGGCGCCCGUCCCGCCCCGCCCGGGGCGCGGACCCGCCUCAAAUGCAUUGGCGGCCGGUACCUUGGCUUCGAGCGCAGCAGAAACGCGGACUCGGGGCCUCGGGGCCGAUCCCCCAGAAGCUAUCUCACUAUGGUUGACCUCGGAUCAGGUAGGGAUACCCGCUGAACUUAAGCAUAUCAAUAAGCGGAGGA
rnacentral:misc_RNA from 1 species